rnacentral:precursor_RNA from 14 species
UGUGCUUUCACAUUACCACUUUGCGCUGUGAAUGGCACUGUAUGAAUUCACUGCACUCUGAUCGCUUCCAGUGGAUUUUCCAGUGCCAUUUACAACGUCAAGAAUUAAAUCGCAUAUCAAUC